rnacentral:tRNA from 1 species
GAGAGAUGGCUCAGUGGUUAAGAGCACUGGCUGCUCUUCCAGAGGACCUGGGUUCAAUUCUCAGCACUCA